AUGAGGCGACUGUUAAAUGAAACGCGUGUGUUAAUUGAAUGCAUCCAAAAGUCUGGAUUUUCUGACAGCUUUGGCUUUGGAUUCCCCGCCUCUCAGAUGUGGAAAAUAAUAUAUGAAUAAAGCGGCUAGCAGCGUUAGCUGUGCACUCCUCUUCCUCUAAAUCCCGCGCACAAUUAUGUGAUUAAAACACGUCCAGGUAAAAAAAACAUUCAGGGUUUUAAUACAUUCAGAAACAUUACUACAUGUGUAUUUUAAGUCGUAAUAAUUCGGACUAAGAUGUAUGUGCGGCGAAUGCACCACAGUUUAAUGGUGUGGGCGGGGCUGUUUGUUUGUUGUGUGUUCGCGAGCCACAGAAGCUCGAGCUUCACGACUUCCACGUGACGUCAUUGUCACGCGGAAUGUUACCUUCAUUCAUCCAACGUGGAUUGAAAUUCUUUCUCGUUUCUUACCCCUUUUAAUUGUUUAAUAUCUAAUAGGUGGUCACUCUUUCGACGCGUUUAACGUAAUGGUUGUCUUUGUGUAAUAUUAAUAAGGAAGGCUACGUGCUGGUUUUACGAACGUCUGAGCGAUCACGUGAUAGUUGAUCGUAGCUGUGACGCUAUAGGGCCUUUUACAUCACGUGACAAGGAACUACUGGUGCCAGAUGUUUGUUUGACGGUGACCUCUGCUGGUUAAAGUAAUGUAUUAUUCUUCAGAAAGAUUGACAGGAUACCUACAGUGUGUAUAAUCUGAGAUCAUAUGUCCAUAGAAACGUGACCUGCUGCUAGUGUCUCUCAUAAGGCAUAACUUUUUGUGUUUACCUUUAAGUAUAAUACACACAUUUAGGAAUUUAGUACAAAACGAGUAAAGUAGGCUAGACUGGACAAUGUAUUCAAAAUAAGGGGAAGUAAAAACACAUACAAAUAAAAGUUGUUUAUGCUAAAGACUUAAUUUAAAAACAUGAUUAUCAAUUUAAAAAUACUUAGGCGUUCUUAUAAUGUUUUAACAUAUUGCAUCAUGUUUAUUUAUGUAUGAAACGUUUUGAAGCAAUGUUUGACCA
rnacentral:lncRNA from 1 species